AGCGGUAAGGGCACGUCCCUUCUAAGGAUGUGGUCAUAGGUUCGAAUCCUAUAGGGCGUGCCA
rnacentral:tRNA from 1 species